rnacentral:rRNA from 1 species
GGGAAUAACCCGUCGAAAGGCGGACUAAUACCGCAUAACAAUCAAGAGCUGCAUGGUUUUUGAUUUAAAGAUUUAUCGGUUAUGGAUGGGCAUGCGUUCCAUUAGGUAGUUGGCGGGGCAACGGCCCACCAAGCCUUCGAUGGAUGGGGGUUCUGAGAGGAAGGUCCCCCACACUGGUACUGAGACACGGACCAGACUCCUACGGGAGGCAGCAGUGAGGAAUAUUGGUCAAUGGGCGAGAGCCUGAACCAGCCAAAUCGCGUGAAGGAUGAAGGUAUUAUGUAUUGUAAACUUCUUUUAUCAGGGAAUAAAGUGCAGCACGUGUGCUGUUUUGUAUGUACCUGAAGAAUAAGGAUCGGCUAACUCCGUGCCAGCAGCCGCGGUAAUACGGAGGAUCCAAGCGUUAUCCGGAUUUAUUGGGUUUAAAGGGUGCGUAGGCGGACUGUCAAGUCAGCGGUGAAAGUUUGCGGCUUAACCGUAAAAUUGCCGUUGAAACUGGCAGUCUUGAGUGUAGAUGAGGUGGGUGGAAUUCGUAGUGUAGCGGUGAAAUGCUUAGAUAUUACGAAGAACUCCGAUUGCGUAGGCAGCUCACUGGGCUACAACUGACGCUGAGGCACGAAGGUGCGGGGAUCAAACAGGAUUAGAUACCCUGGUAGUCCGCACAGUAAACGAUGAAUACUAGUUGUUUGCGAUACACAGCAAGUGACACAGCGAAAGCGUUAAGUAUUCCACCUGGGGAGUACGCCGGCAACGGUGAAACUCAAAUGAAUUGACGG